GACGAACGCUGGCGGCGUGCUUAACACAUGCAAGUCGAACGGAAAGGCCCUGCUUUUGUGGGGUGCUCGAGUGGCGAACGGAUGAGUAACACGCGAGUAACCUGCCCUUGACUUUGGGAUAACUUCAGGAAACUGGGGCUAAUACCGGAUAGGAGCUCCUGCUGCAUGGUGGGGGUUGGAAAGUUUCGGCGGUUGGGGAUGGACUCGCGGCUUAUCAGCUUGUUGGUGGGGUAGUGGCUUACCAAGGCUUUGACGGGUAGCCGGCCUGAGAGGGUGACCGGCCACAUUGGGACUGAGAUACGGCCCAGACUCCUACGGGAGGCAGCAGUGGGGAAUAUUGCACAAUGGGCGGAAGCCUGAUGCAGCAACGCCGCGUGCGGGAUGACGGCCUUCGGGUUGUAAACCGCUUUCGCCUGUGACGAAGCGUGAGUGACGGUAAUGGGUAAAGAAGCACCGGCUAACUACGUGCCAGCAGCCGCGGUGAUACGUAGGGUGCGAGCGUUGUCCGGAUUUAUUGGGCGUAAAGGGCUCGUAGGUGGUUGAUCGCGUCGGAAGUGUAAUCUUGGGGCUUAACCCUGAGCGUGCUUUCGAUACGGGUUGACUUGAGGAAGGUAGGGGAGAAUGGAAUUCCUGGUGGAGCGGUGGAAUGCGCAGAUAUCAGGAGGAACACCAGUGGCGAAGGCGGUUCUCUGGGCCUUUCCUGACGCUGAGGAGCGAAAGCGUGGGGAGCGAACAGGCUUAGAUACCCUGGUAGUCCACGCUGUAAACGGUGGGUACUAGGUGUGGGGUCCAUUCCACGGGUUCCGUGCCGUAGCUAACGCUUUAAGUACCCCGCCUGGGGAGUACGGCCGCAAGGCUAAAACUCAAAGGAAUUGACGGGGCCCCGCACAAGCGGCGGAGCAUGCGGAUUAAUUCGAUGCAACGCGUAGAACCUUACCUGGGUUUGACAUGGAUCGGGAGUGCUCAGAGAUGGGUGUGCCUCUUUUGGGGUCGGUUCACAGGUGGUGCAUGGCUGUCGUCAGCUCGUGUCGUGAGAUGUUGGGUUAAGUCCCGCAACGAGCGCAACCCUUGUUCACUGUUGCCAGCACGUUAUGGUGGGGACUCAGUGGAGACCGCCGGGGUCAACUCGGAGGAAGGUGGGGAUGACGUCAAGUCAUCAUGCCCCUUAUGUCCAGGGCUUCACGCAUGCUACAAUGGCUGGUACAGAGAGUGGCGAGCCUGUGAGGGUGAGCGAAUCUCGGAAAGCCGGUUUCAGUUCGGAUUGGGGUCUGCAACUCGACCUCAUGAAGUCGGAGUCGCUAGUAAUCGCAGAUCAGCAACGCUGCGGUGAAUACGUUCCCGGG
rnacentral:rRNA from 1 species